rnacentral:rRNA from 1 species
AGUGAGGAAUAUUGGUCAAUGGGCGGGAGCCUGAACCAGCCAAGUCGCGUGAA